UUGACCGUGCAAAGGUAGCAUAAUCCAUUGUCUUUUAAUUAAAGGCUAGAAUGAAUGGUUGGAUGAGAUAUUGACUAUUUUUAUUUUAAUAAAAAUGAAUUUUAAUUUUUAGUAAAAAUGCUAAAAUAAUAAAAUUAGACGAGAAGACCCUAUAAAUCUUUAUUUUUAAAUAAUAAUUUUAAUUUUGUAAAUUUUUUAUUAAUUAUUUUUUUAAAAAUUUUAUUGGGAGGAUAAUGAAAUUUAAUAAACUUUUAUUUUAACCUAUAAAUAUAAUUAAAUUAAUGAAUAUGUUAAUAUGUUUAAAAAAUUAAGUUACUUUAGGGAUAACAGCGUAAUUAUUUUAGAGAGUUCUUAUCGAUAAAAUAGUUUGCGACCUCGAUGCUGAAUUAUAGAGUAACAGACCGGCAGAAGUAACAUGGCU
rnacentral:rRNA from 1 species